UACGUAGGGUGCAAGCGUUGUCCGGAAUUAUUGGGCGUAAAGAGCUUGUAGGCGGUUUGUCGCGUCUGCUGUGAAAUUUCGGGGCUCAACCCCGAACUUGCAGUGGGUACGGGCAGACUAGAGUGUGGUAGGGGAGACUGGAAUUCCUGGUGUAGCGGUGAAAUGCGCAGAUAUCAGGAGGAACACCGAUGGCGAAGGCAGGUCGCUGGGACGGUAUUGACGCUGAGGCGCGAAAGCGUGGGGAGCAAACAGG
rnacentral:rRNA from 1 species